rnacentral:rRNA from 1 species
UUAUGGCUCAGAUUGAACGCUGGCGGCGUGCUUAACACAUGCAAGUCGCGCGUGAAAGGACUUCGGUCCGAGUAAAGCGGCGCACGGGUGAGUAACGCGUGGAUGAUCUACCCAUGAGUUAGGAAUAACGGCUGGAAACGGUCGCUAAUACCAAAUACGCUCCGAUUUCAACUUCGGGGGAAAGGUGGCCUCUGCUUGCAAGCUACUGCUCAUGGAUGAGUCCGCGUCCCAUUAGCUAGUUGGUGGGGUAACGGCCCACCAAGGCGACGAUGGGUAGCCGGUCUGAGAGGAUGACCGGCCACACUGGGACUGGAACACGGCCCAGACUCCUACGGGAGGCAGCAGUGGGGAAUAUUGCGCAAUGGGCGAAAGCCUGACGCAGCGACGCCGCGUGAGGGGAAUGAAGGUCCUCGGAUCGUAAACCUCUGUCAGGAGGGAAGAACCGCCACGGUGCUAAUCAGCCGUGGUCUGACGGUACCUCCAAGGGAAGCACCGGCUAACUCCGUGCCAGCCGCCGC